GGCACUACGGUGCUGAAGCAACAAAUGCCCUGCUUCCAGGAAAAGCCUCUAAGCAUCAGGUAACAUCAAAUCGUACCCCAAACCGACACAGGUGGUCAGGUAGAGAAUACCAAGGCGCUUGAGAGAACUCGGGUGAAGGAACUAGGCAAAAUGGUGCCGUAACUUCGGGAGAAGGCACGCUGAUAUGUAGGUGAAGCGACUUGCUCGUGGAGCUGAAAUCAGUCGAAGAUACCAGCUGGCUGCAACUGUUUAUUAAAAACACAGCACUGUGCAAACACGAAAGUGGACGUAUACGGUGUGACGCCUGCCCGGUGCCGGAAGGUUAAUUGAUGGGGUUAGCGGUAACGCGAAGCUCUUGAUCGAAGCCCCGGUAAACGGCGGCCGUAACUAUAACGGUCCUAAGGUAGCGAAAUUCCUUGUCGGGUAAGUUCCGACCUGCACGAAUGGCGUAAUGAUGGCCAGGCUGUCUCCACCCGAGACUCAGUGAAAUUGAACUCGCUGUGAAGAUGCAGUGUACCCGCGGCAAGACGGAAAGACCCCGUGAACCUUUACUAUAGCUUGACACUGAACAUUGAGCCUUGAUGUGUAGGAUAGGUGGGAGGCUUUGAAGUGUGGACGCCAGUCUGCAUGGAGCCGACCUUGAAAUACCACCCUUUAAUGUUUGAUGUUCUAACGUUGACCCGUGAUCCGGGUUGCGGACAGUGUCUGGUGGGUAGUUUGACUGGGGCGGUCUCCUCCUAAAGAGUAACGGAGGAGCACGAAGGUUGGCUAAUCCUGGUCGGACAUCAGGAGGUUAGUGCAAUGGCAUAAGCCAGCUUGACUGCGAGCGUGACGGCGCGAGCAGGUGCGAAAGCAGGUCAUAGUGAUCCGGUGGUUCUGAAUGGAAGGGCCAUCGCUCAACGGAUAAAAGGUACUCCGGGGAUAACAGGCUGAUACCGCCCAAGAGUUCAUAUCGACGGCGGUGUUUGGCACCUCGAUGUCGGCUCAUCACAUCCUGGGGCUGAAGUAGGUCCCAAGGGUAUGGCUGUUCGCCAUUUAAAGUGGUACGCGAGCUGGGUUUAGAACGUCGUGAGACAGUUCGGUCCCUAUCUGCCGUGGGCGCUGGAGAACUGAGGGGGGCUGCUCCUAGUACGAGAGGACCGGAGUGGACGCAUCACUGGUGUUCGGGUUGUCAUGCCAAUGGCACUGCCCGGUAGCUAAAUGCGGAAGAGAUAAGUGCUGAAAGCAUCUAAGCACGAAACUUGCCCCGAGAUGAGUUCUCCCUGACUCCUUGAGAGUCCUGAAGGAACGUUGAAGACGACGACGUUGAUAGGCCGGGUGUGUAAGCGCAGCGAUGCGUUGAGCUAACCGGUACUAAUGAACCGUGAGG
rnacentral:rRNA from 1 species